rnacentral:rRNA from 1 species
AGUGGGGAAUAUUGCACAAUGGGCGCAAGCCUGAUGCAGCAACGCCGCGUGAGGGACGACGGCCUUCGGGUUGUAAACCUCUUUUAGCAGGGAAGAAGCGAAAGUGACGGUACCUGCAGAAAAAGCACCGGCUAACUACGUGCCAGCAGCCGCGGUAAUACGUAGGGUGCAAGCGUUAUCCGGAAUUAUUGGGCGUAAAGAGCUCGUAGGCGGUUUGUCGCGUCUGCUGUGAAAACUGGGGGCUCAACCCCCAGCCUGCAGUGGGUACGGGCAGACUAGAGUGCGGUAGGGGAGAUUGGAAUUCCUGGUGUAGCGGUGGAAUGCGCAGAUAUCAGGAGGAACACCGAUGGCGAAGGCAGAUCUCUGGGCCGUAACUGACGCUGAGGAGCGAAAGGGUGGGGAGCAAA